rnacentral:rRNA from 1 species
UGGGGAAUUUUGGACAAUGGGCGAAAGCCUGAUCCAGCAAUGCCGCGUGUGUGAAGAAGGCCUUCGGGUUGUAAAGCACUUUUGUCCGGAAAGAAAUGGCUCUGGUUAAUACCUGGGGUCGAUGACGGUACCGGAAGAAUAAGGACCGGCUAACUACGUGCCAGCAGCCGCGGUAAUACGUAGGGUCCAAGCGUUAAUCGGAAUUACUGGGCGUAAAGCGUGCGCAGGCGGUUGUGCAAGACCGAUGUGAAAUCCCCGAGCUUAACUUGGGAAUUGCAUUGGUGACUGCACGGCUAGAGUGUGUCAGAGGGGGGUAGAAUUCCACGUGUAGCAGUGAAAUGCGUAGAGAUGUGGAGGAAUACCGAUGGCGAAGGCAGCCCCCUGGGAUAACACUGACGCUCAUGCACGAAAGCGUGGGGAGCAAACAGGAUUAGAUACCCUGGUAGUCCACGCCCUAAACGAUGUCAACUAGUUGUUGGGGAUUCAUUUCCUUAGUAACGUAGCUAACGCGUGAAGUUGACCGCCUGGGGAGUACGGUCGCAAGAUUAAAAGCUCAAAGGAA